ensembl:lncRNA
CAGCCGUACCCGACUGACAUCACCGGACAGCUCAACCUAUCAGACCCCUCCGUCAGCACCGUGGUGUGAGGAGCAGCUACACACACACGCACACACUACACACAGACGGGCGGACUGAGCGUCCUCUGUGACAGGAAGUGGAAUCCGAUGGCAGCAGGACGUCAGGACGGUAUCACACUGUGACUCACACACACACACACACACCAUCUGUCGUCCUAAACCCACUGCCCACACACACACACUCACGCAGACUCACACUAUCGCCUUGCUCUGCUUGUAGCCGUCAGCCUCCUCCAACCAGAGGUCUUUUAUUUUGAAAGAACUCUUACUUUUACUUUGGCGAGUGUCUUUUGAUGUUGUACACUUUCCCGUCCGUCUCACCGAUUGAUUGAUUCCCGAUCACGUCUGAUCCGUGAACUCGAGCUCCCGAAGCACUUCGAUCACCUGCCGAUCGACCGGGAACCUUCUGAUCGAUCGGACUUAUCGAUCGAUCGGGGAACCCGUCGGUCGAUUGGGGACCGAUCACUGACUAGAGAGUGGCAGGUGGGCCAAGCCUCUGGGACAGGAAGUACUUUCUCCACUCGCCACCGAGGCUCACGGGUCACGUGGGAGCCGAGGGAUUGUUUGGCCAUUCAUGAGGAGUAAAAGUAAAUGUUUAUAACACAGAUAUUUCUGCAGAUCUGAGGACAUUUCACUUAUUAAUGAAGUAUUGACGAGUAUUUCUUCUUCACUCGAUGAUCCUCUUCAUGAGAUGAUAUCACGUUCAGUCCUCUUGUCUGUUGUGUUAUAAACACUUUAUUAUGUGUUAUACUUCUUAUAAAUGGUGAAUACAUUAUGACACCAAGGAAAUAAUCCUAUGGUUUUAUUAUAAAUAUGUUAUUUAUUAACAUUUAUUAAAGUUCUGAGGGAUCAAAAUAAUGAACUCACAUUGACAAUCACCAUAAUAUGGUAUAAUAAUAUCCCUCAUUUUAUGUAUAACGCACUCUUAGAGUGCGACAAUAAUACUAAUAAUACUAUCUUUUAUAUUUUUAAUUAUUCACUUAAAAAAACGUCUUUCCGUAUUUUAUUUUAAUAGCAACUUUUAUUUUGUUACACCUGUUGUUUUUGUAAUUACAUUUGUUCAAACCAAAAUACUUAUUGUAUUAUUAUUGUUACAUUUUUUCUCAUUUGAUUUAUUAAUUUAAAUUAUUUGAUGGUAUCCGAUUAUUCGAAGUAUAUGUAUUUAAUUUAAUUUAUUGUUUUUUAAUAACAAUAAUAAAUACGAAUUUUACAUUUAGAAAAUACUCCCUGAACCAGAGGCUCCACCCACAGUCCCCAGUGCAUUAUGGGACGUGUAGUCACUGCUCCACCCGAGCGUGACGGGAGACGUAGUCUCUGCUGAAGACGUCGACCUCUAUGACCUCCUCUCGUUCGCCGCAAAAGUCUCUGACCUUUAAACAUAAAUACAAAUUUUCUUUUUUUAUCUUACAAAUAGGGAACUUAUGAAAAAGAGCCGCUGCCUCCAGAGUGAAAGUCCUGUUUGUUUGAGUCCGAGUCUCAUUACGCCUACACAUCCAAUGCUGAUGCUAAGCUAAGGAAGCUCAAAUGUCUAAAUGAAGCUGAGUGUAAGUCAAUAAGACGAUUGUUCAUGAUUCUUUAAAGGUAAUUUACUUUGAUUGAGAUUGAAUUUUGUCUUCCUAGAAAUGUGGUCAUAUUAUCCUUCAAUAAUAAUGAUAUUAAAUAAUAUUAAUAAAAUAUUAAAUAUACAUUUCAAGGAAGACAGAAGGUUUUCUUUCAUUUCAUUUUAUUUUGAAAUCAAAUGAUAUUUCAUGUGAACAGCUGUUUGGAGGUUUACUAAAGACUUCCACUAAACUCUGGUCGGUAUUGGAUAUUGAUUUUGAUGUGUGUAUUGAUCAGUCAGUUCUUGGUGAUAUACGAUACACAGGCAGUAUUAUAUUCCAUGUGUCAUCAAGCCCGACUCAAGUCAGUCACAUUUUGGAUUUAUGUGCUUUAGUGGGAAUUUAUAAAAUGUAUUUGUUUAUAGACAACACAGACCUUCAGGUUUGAAAAGAAACAGGAUGUUUUACUCUGAAAGGUUGAUUGUUUUUAGCUCAUGUUCUCAUUACUCAUAAAUAAACUUCUGUUAUGAUGAUCAAUAAACAAAAGAGACCACAAUAAACUAAGAACUGAUCCAGACGCAGCAGGGGCCUUUUCUAAAAUAUAAACAUACAAGUAGCAUUAAAUAUAUAUUCAAAUAUAUGCUAAUGACAGUUGCGGUGUUGAUGAUGUCAUCAUUUGCUGUUUUGUUUUUUUUAGGAUUAAAAAAUACUAUUUUUGUUCAAUUUUAUCAAACUUCAGAUUUAAAUGUUGAAUUUAGAAUGAAAAGUUUAGACUUCAGUAACUUGAGUGUUAAAGUUUAUUAGCUGAUCUAUAGACAUCAAUCCGUGAUGUGUUUCUAUUUCCUGUUUUAUUCAUUUCUUUUGGAUGUCGAUACGGAUUGAGCUUCUUGUUUGGGGAGUUGUACAGAUGAUGAUGUUUGUAUUAAUCUAUAAUCUGGUGUGAACUGUCUCUAACUGUACACGAAGACCUUUGACCUUUGACCUUUGACAUGAACUGUUGGUUUACCUCCCCACGCUGUGAAGACAAUAGGUCCUACUUAUUAUUGUCAAUAAUAAAUGUUGUGUAGCUGAACCUGGACAACUGUAAAGUUUGCACUACAUGAAAAGUUUACAGUAAUAAAUUAACAUUGAC